GUACACGCUGUGACUAGCAUAUCAAUAAGCGGAGGAAAAGAAACUAACAAGGAUUCCCCUAGGUAACGGCGAGUGAAGGCGGGAAGAGCUCAAAUUUGAAAUCUUAAAGGGUUUCCCUUUACGAAUUGUAGUUUAAAGAAGUGUUUUCUGUUGAGGUUUUGGUAAAAGUUCUUUGGAAUAGGACAUCAUAGAGGGUGAGAAUCCCGUAUUUGACCUUUACUUUCAACUUUGUGAUACACUUUCAAAGAGUCGGAUUGUUUGGGAAUGCAGUCCAAAAUGGGUGGUAAAUUUCAUCUAAAGCUAAAUAUUGGCGAGAGACCGAUAGCGAACAAGUACCGUGAGGGAAAGAUGAAAAGAACUUUGAAAAGAGAGUUAAACAGUACGUGAAAUUGUCAAAAGGGAAGCGUUUGACACCAGUGUUGUUUUUCUGAAAAUCAAUUAAAGAACUGUUUAUGCUAAGCUGUUUAGACUUUAUCAGCUAUCUGUUUAGUUUUGAGCUUUUCUUUAAUGCACUUUUCAUGUUAACAAGUCAACAUCAAUUUCUUUUGCUGUAAAAAAGCUUGAGGAAGGUGGCUUGAGAUUCGUCUUAAGUGUUUAUAGCCUCUUGCCUAUGCAGUCGGAGAGAUUGAGGUCUGCAGCGUAGAUCCUUCGGGGCUAAAUGCAUUUGUGCUAAGUUAUAGCAUUUUAUAGACAACUUGUUGACUAUGAUUCGUCUUGUAGCUUACUCGCUUAUGUUAUUUUACCUACGCUUAGGAUGUUGAAGUCAUCGUAUCGCGC
rnacentral:rRNA from 1 species